rnacentral:tRNA from 1 species
GGCACUUUGGCGGAGUGGUUAACGCGCUGCCCUGCUAUAUAUGCUAGGCAGUUCCUUCGGGAGCGUGUGUUCGAAUCACACAGGUGUCG